rnacentral:rRNA from 1 species
UACAGGGGUCCCAAGCGUUGUUCGGAUUCAUUGGGCGUAAAGGGUGCGUAGGCGGCGCGGGCAGUCGGGUGUGAAAUCUCGGAGCUUAACUCCGAAACGGCAUUCGAUACUGCCGUGCUUGAGGACUGGAGAGGAGACUGGAAUUCACGGUGUAGCAGUGAAAUGCGUAGAGAUCGGGAGGAAGGCCGGUGGCGAAGGCGGCGGGCUGGAACGUUUCUGACACUGAAGCGCGAAAGCGAGGGGAGCAAACAGG